AGAGCGAACGCUGGCGGCAGGCCUAACACAUGCAAGUCGAGCGCUCGUAGCAAUACGAGAGCGGCAGACGGGAGAGUAACACGUGGGAACGUACCCUUUGGUUCGGAACAACACAGGGAAACUUGUGCUAAUACCGAAUAAGCCCUUACGGGGAAAGAUUUAUCGCCAAAGGAUCGGCCCGCGUCUGAUUAGCUAGUUGGUGGGGUAAUGGCUCACCAAGGCGACGAUCAGUAGCUGGUCUGAGAGGAUAACCAGCCUCAUUGGGACUGAGACACGGCCCAAACUCCUACGGGAGGCAGCAGUGGGGAAUAUUGGACAAUGGGCGCAAGCCUGAUCCAGCCAUGCCGCGUGGAUGAUGAAGGCCUUAGGGUUGUAAAGUCCUUUUAACGGGGAAGAUAAUGACGGUACCCGUAGAAUAAGCCCCGGCUAACUUCGCGCCAGCAGCCGC
rnacentral:rRNA from 1 species